rnacentral:rRNA from 1 species
AGUGAACGCUGGCGGUAGGCCUAACACAUGCAAGUCGAACGGCAGCACAGUAAGAGCUUGCUCUUACGGGUGGCGAGUGGCGGACGGGUGAGGAGUACAUCGGACUCUACUUUUUCGUGGGGGAUAACGUAGGGAAACUUACGCUAAUACCGCAUACGACCUACGGGUGAAAGCAGGGGAUCUUCGGACCUUGCGCGAUUGAAUGAGCCGAUGUCGGAGUAGCUAGUUGGCGGGGUAAAGGCCCACCAAGGCGACGAUCCGUAGCUGGUCUGAGAGGAUGAUCGGCCACAUUGGAACUGGGACAGGGUCCAGACGCCUACGGGAGGCAGCAGUGGGGAAUAUUGGACAAUGGGCGCAAGCCUGAUCCAGCCAUACCGCGUGGGUGAAGAAGGCCUUCGGGGUGUAAAGCCCUUUUGUUGGGAAAGAAAAGCAGCAGGUUAAUACCCCGCGGUUCUGACGGUACCCAAAGAAUAAGCACCGGCUAACUUCGUG